AGCGAACGCUGGCGGCAGGCUUAACACAUGCAAGUCGAGCGGGCACUUUCGGGUGUCAGCGGCGGACGGGUGAGUAACGCGUGGGAACGUGCCCUCUGGUUCGGAAUAACUCAGGGAAACUUGAGCUAAUACCGGAUACGCCCUUUUGGGGAAAGGCUUGCUGCCGGAGGAUCGGCCCGCGUCUGAUUAGCUAGUUGGUGAGGUAACGGCUCACCAAGGCGACGAUCAGUAGCUGGUCUGAGAGGAUGAUCAGCCACACUGGGACUGAGACACGGCCCAGACUCCUACGGGAGGCAGCAGUGGGGAAUAUUGGACAAUGGGCGCAAGCCUGAUCCAGCCAUGCCGCGUGAGUGAUGAAGGCCUUAGGGUUGUAAAGCUCUUUUAUCCGGGACGAUAAUGACGGUACCGGAGGAAUAAGCCCCGGCUAACUACGUG
rnacentral:rRNA from 1 species